AGAACGAACGCUGGCGGCGUGGAUUAGGCAUGCAAGUCGAACGGUAUCUUUCGGACGGAUCCUUCGGGUGAAGUUUGUUAGAGAGAGUGGCGAACGGGUGAGUAACACGUGGGCAACUUGCCCCUAAGUUCGGGAUAGCCCGCCGAAAGGCGGGGUAAUACCGGAUGUGGUCGCUCCGCGAUUGCGGAGUUGUCUAAAGGUGGGGAUUCUUCGGAACCUAUCGCUUAGGGAUGGGCCCGCGGCCUAUCAGCUUGUUGGUGAGGUAACGGCUCACCAAGGCAGAGACGGGUAGCUGGUCUGAGAGGAUGGUCAGCCACACUGGGACUGAGACACUGCCCAGACUCCUACGGGAGGCUGCAGUCGAGAAUCAUUCACAAUGCGCGAAAGCGUGAUGAUGCGACGCCGCGUGGAGGAUGACGGCCUUCGGGUUGUAAACUCCUGUCAUGAGGGAACAAGGAUGUCGAGGUUAAUACCCUCGCUAUUUGAUGGUACCUCAAGAGGAAGCCACGGCUAACUCUGUGCCAGCAGCCGCGGUAAUACAGAGGUGGCGAGCGUUGUUCGGAUUUACUGGGCGUAAAGGGUGCGUAGGCGGUUCUGUGUGUCAGAUGUGAAAUCUCACCGUCCAACGGUGAAACUGCAUUUGAAACUGCAGGACUAGAGUACAGGAGGGGAGAGCGGAAUUCUCGGUGUAGCGGUGAAAUGCGUAGAUAUUGAGAAGAACGCCGGUGGCGAAGGCGGCUCUCUGGACUGAUACUGACGCUGAGGCACGAAAGUUGGGGGAGCGAACAGGAUUAGAUACCCUGGUAGUCCCAACCGUAAACGGUGUGCACUUGGUGUGGGUGGGUUUGUCCCCAUCCGUGCCGGAGCUAACGCGUUAAGUGCACCGCCUGGGGAGUACGGUCGCAAGACUA
rnacentral:rRNA from 1 species